AUAAAAACCAAUUUAAUAUAUUGAAUAUAAUCCACCAAUGGAUAAAAAAGCACACUGACCUUGAAAUUCUAGCACACAUUUCAGAAGCAAAAGCUAGAAUUUUAAUUUUCCUGUACCUGGAAAUAAAAACUGAAAAAAAUGGGGAUCCAUUACAAAGUGAAAACAACAAAAUUACUAUACUAUAGGGCUUAAAUAAUACUCACAUUCUAUACAGAAAGUACUGAAAGCGACACUAAGUGUAAUUUCAAAUUCCAAAUGGAACGAAACAUCCUUUAGUUUAAUACUACAAUGAACAAUUUAUAUCCUGCAAAAGUAUGUAUGGUAAAAAGUAGUGGAUUAAAGAACUCUCUAUUGUAAAGUAGUAGAUUGUUCUCAACUCACAACUUAAACAAUAAUAGUGAGGAAGAUCCAAGGCAAUUUGAAAACUAAUGCACCAAGUACUGUGAUGAGAACAACACAUGGCUAGUGAAGAUUAAUGACAAUGACAAAAACAAAGUGAAAACAACAAAAUUAGUAUACUAUAGAGGGCUUAAAUAAUACUCACAUUCUAUACAGAAAGUACUGAAAGCGACACUAAGUGUAAUUUCAAAUUCCAAAUGGAACGAAACAUCCUUUAGUUUAAUACCACAAUGAACAAUUUAUAUCCUGCAAAAGUAUGUAUGGUAAAAAGUAGUGGAUUAAAGAACUCUCUAUUGUAAAGUAGUAGAUUGUUCUCAACUCACAACUUGAACAAUAAUAGUGAGGAAGAUCUAAGGCAAUUUGAAAACUAAUGCACCAAGUACUGUGAUGAGAACAACACAUGGCUAGUGAAGAUUAAUGGCAAUGACAAAAGAGAAGGUG
rnacentral:lncRNA from 1 species